rnacentral:rRNA from 1 species
CGCAGCCGCGGUAAUUCCAGCUCCAAUAGCGUAUAUUAAAGUUGUUGCAGUUAAAAAGCUCGUAGUUGAAUUUCGGGGUCAGUAGGUCGGUCGUGCCACUGGUAUGAACUGGUUUUACUGAUUCCUCCCUCUUGAAGAACUGUAAUGCCAUUAAUUUGGUGUUGCAGGGAAUCAGGACUGUUACUUUGAAAAAAUUUAGAGUGUUUAAAGCAGGCUUUAGCUUGAAUACAUUAGCAUGGAAUAAUGAAAUAGGACGUUUGAUCCUAUUUUGUUGGUUUCUAGGAUUGACGUAAUGAUUAAUAGGGAUAGUUGGGGGCAUUAGUAUUCAAUUGUCAGAGGUGAAAUUCUUGGAUUUAUUGAAGACUAACUACUGCGAAAGCAUUUGCCAAGGAUGUUUUCAUUAAUCAAGAACGAAAGUUAGGGGAUCGAAGACGAUCAGAUACCGUCGUAGUCUUAACCAUAAACUAUGCCGACUAGGGAUCGGAUGAUGUUAAUUUUUUAAUGACUCAUUCGGCGCCUU